AACGAACGCUGGCGGCAGGCCUCAAACAUGCAAGUCUAGGGGGUGUAGCAAUACAUCACCGGCGGACGGGUGCGUAACGCGUGGGAAUAUACCUAUUGGUUCGGAACAACACAGGGAAACUUGUGCUAAUACCGAAUGUGCCCUUACGGGGAAAGAUUUAUCGCCAAUGGAUUAGCCCGCGUCCGAUUAGCUAGUUGGUGAGGUAACGGCUCACCAAGGCUCCGAUCGGUAGCUGUUCUGAGAGGAAGAUCAGCCACACUGGGACUGAGACACGGCCCAGACUCCUACGGAGGCAGCAGUUGGGAAUCUUGGACAAUGGGGGAAACCCUGAUCCAGCCAUGCCGCGUGAGUGAUGAAGGCCUUCGGGUUGGUAAAACUACUUUCGUACGGGGACGGAUAAUGACGGUACCCGUAGAAGAAGCU
rnacentral:rRNA from 1 species